rnacentral:misc_RNA from 1 species
AAAAGUAGAAGUCUGGUGAAAUUACUCAAUCUUCGGCUCCUCCGACUGAAGUGGAAGCCCCAGUAGCGAAGCCGGAACAGCCUCCACCGGCUUCGGUGCAUUCCUUGCCGCAACCGGGAUCGCGACGAAGGUCUUGUUCUUGCUUAUGGGUCGACUCUUCUCGAGCUGGACAUAGUCGCCGACUUUGAACUGGUUAUCCGGGUCAUGCGCCUGAAACUUCUUCUUUAUCCGGAUGCGGCGCUUGUACUUGGGGUGCUGGGCGAGGCGGACAACCUCAACGGCGACAGUCUUGUCGUUGGCUGAGCAUACGACUCGGCCCUGCAUCUUCUUCAUGGCGUGGAUGGUGAGGGAGGCGGGGCGAGG